rnacentral:rRNA from 1 species
CUAGCCGUAAACGAUGGGUACUAGGUGUAGGUGGUUUCGAUACCAUCUGUGCCGUAGUUAACGCAUUAAGUACCCCGCCUGGGGAGUACGUGCGCAAGCAUGAAACUCAAAGGAAUUGACGGGGGCCCGCACAAGCGGUGGAGCAUGUGGUUUAAUUCGAAGCAACGCGAAGAACCUUACCAGGUCUUGACAUCCCUGGACAGCUGUGGAAACACAGUUUCCCUUCGGGGCCAGGAGACAGGUGG